rnacentral:rRNA from 1 species
ACGGAAGGCAGCAGUGGGGAAUAUUGCACAAUGGGGGGAAACCCUGAUGCAGCGACGCCGCGUGAAGGAAGAAGUAUCUCGGUAUGUAAACUUCUAUCAGCAGGGAAGAUAAUGACGGUACCUGACUAAGAAGCCCCGGCUAACUACGUGCCAGCAGCCGCGGUAAUACGUAGGGGGCAAGCGUUAUCCGGAUUUACUGGGUGUAAAGGGAGCGUAGACGGAAUGGCAGGUCUGGUGUGAAAGGCAUGGGCUCAACCUGUGGACUGCACUGGAAACUGUCGUUCUUGAGUGCCGGAGGGGUAAGCGGAAUUCCUAGUGUAGCGGUGAAAUGCGUAGAUAUUAGGAGGAACACCAGUGGCGAAGGCGGCUUUCUGGACUGUAACUGACGCUGAUGCACGAAAGUGUGGGGAGCAAACAGGAUUAGAUACCCUGGUA